GAUGAACGCUGGCGGCGUGCCUAAUACAUGCAAGUCGAGCGAACAGACGAGGAGCUUGCUCCUCUGACGUUAGCGGCGGACGGGUGAGUAACACGUGGAUAACCUACCUAUAAGACUGGGAUAACUUCGGGAAACCGGAGCUAAUACCGGAUAAUAUAUUGAACCGCAUGGUUCAAUAGUGAAAGACGGUUUUGCUGUCACUUAUAGAUGGAUCCGCGCCGCAUUAGCUAGUUGGUAAGGUAACGGCUUACCAAGGCGACGAUGCGUAGCCGACCUGAGAGGGUGAUCGGCCACACUGGAACUGAGACACGGUCCAGACUCCUACGGGAGGCAGCAGUAGGGAAUCUUCCGCAAUGGGCGAAAGCCUGACGGAGCAACGCCGCGUGAGUGAUGAAGGUCUUCGGAUCGUAAAACUCUUUUAUUAGGGAAGAACAAAUGUGUAAGUAACUAUGCACGUCUUGACGGUACCUAAUCAGAAAGCCACGGCUAACUACGUG
rnacentral:rRNA from 1 species